rnacentral:rRNA from 1 species
CCUACGGGAGGCAGCAGUGAGGAAUAUUGGUCAAUGGACGAGAGUCUGAACCAGCCAAGUAGCGUGAAGGAUGACUGCCCUAUGGGUUGUAAACUUCUUUUAUAUGGGAAUAAAACGUUCCACGUGUGGGAUUUUGUAUGUACUAUAUGAAUAAGGAUCGGCUAACUCCGUGCCAGCAGCCGCGGUAAUACGGAGGAUCCGAGCGUUAUCCGGAUUUAUUGGGGUUAAAGGGAGCGUAGGUGGAUUGUUAAGUCAGUUGUGAAAGUUUGCGGCUCAACCGUAAAAUUGCAGUUGAAACUGGCAGUCUUGAGUACAGUAGAGGUGGGCGGAAUUCGUGGUGUAGCGGUGAAAUGCUUAGAUAUCACGAAGAACUCCGAUUGCGAAGGCAGUUCACUGGACUGCAACUGACACUGAGGCUCGAAAGUGUGGGUAUCAAACAGGAUUAGAUACCCGAGUAGUC